CUAAGAAUAUUCCGCAAUGGACGGAAGUCUGACGGAGCGACGCCGCGUGGAUGACGAAGGCCGAAAGGUUGUAAAGUUCUUUUGCUGGGGAAGAAUAACCGCAGGAGGGAAUGCCUGUGGGAUGACAAGAACCGGCGAAUAAGCCCCGGCCAACUACGUGCCAGCAGCCGCGGUAACACGUAGGGGGCGAGCGUUGUUCGGAAUUACUGGGCGUAAAGGGCAUGUAGGCGGCUUGGAAAGCCUGGCGUGAAAGUCUGCAGCUUAACUGCAGGGGUGCGCUGGGAACUGCUGAGCUUGAGUGACGGAGAGGGAGCUGGAAUUCCUGGUGUAGGGGUGAAAUCUGUAGAUAUCAGGAAGAACACCGAUGGCGAAGGCAAGCUCCUGGCCGAUGACUGACGCUGAGGUGCGAAAGUGUGGGGAUCAAACAGGAUUAGAUACCCUGGUAGUCCACACAGUCAACGAUGUGCACUAGGUGCUGGGGCGGUAGCUUCGGUGCCGGAGCGAACGUGGUAAGUGCACCGCCUGGGGAGUAUGCUCGCAAGGGUGAAACUAAAUGAAUUGACGGGGUCAUAGCUGUUUCCU
rnacentral:rRNA from 1 species